CUCCGACUCCCGGGAAUUCCAGGGUGUGCGGAUCGCUCGCCGAUGGCGAGGAGUUGCAGCUGGUGGGCCUUUCAGACGCCGAAGAGCCAGAAGCCAAUGCCACAUUCCUGAACAUGUCUGCAUGUGAAAAGACAUGGAUACAUGUUCCCAGAAGGUUCUGGAAGGAAGGAAAAUUUGGGUAAGACAUGCGAGCUGCAUAGCAAGUAGAAGGAAUUACCCAGGAGGUCCUGGUAAGGAACACA